UGAAAGGCAAAAAAAAUUUUGAAUACACUGGCCCAUGGGAAUCGUACUUUCCAAUUUUCACACAAGGGAAAGUCCCUUACGGCUCCUGGUUUGACCAUACCAAAGAGAUGUGCAAGGGAGUGGACAGCAUUCCCAACUGCUUAUUUUUGACUUACGAAGAAAUGCUUAAGGAUUUACCAGCCGCUGUGAAAAAAAUCAAUUCCUUUCUUGGAUUUGAACGAUCAGACGCAUUUUUGGAGGAAGUAGCGCAGAAAUGUACAUUUUCUUCGAUGAAAAGAUCCGAAGAAACUAGAG